rnacentral:tRNA from 1 species
AGUUCCAUAGUGUAGCAGUUAGCAUGUCUGCUUUACACGCAGAAGGCCCUGGAUUUGUGCCCCAGUGGAGCCA